ACGUUUCUUAGACUGUUUGAUAGGUUGUAGGCUUCUUAAGGGUAAAAAGUAGCUUAGUGCAUAAUGCUAAAAAAAUAACUUCAAUCACGUGAAAAAGUCUACGAAUUUUCAGCAGUCGACUAUGACAUGUGAAAUGUCACAUGGAAAGAAACUAAUUCUGCAAAGAUAAAUUUUGUCCUUGAAUGGUUGCUUGAAAGUUUGACACAAGGUUUUCAGUCCCAGAAAUACCAGCAUCAUCAUAGAAAUUUUAAACAUAAUGUAUAAAUUCAUUAGUUUAAUACUACUUGGGGCUAUUAGUUAUGGCUAUGAAUUUGUUUUAUUACAUUUGCAUGUCCACACCAACAUUCUUAUUCUCACUCCUACCCAUUUUGCUGUCAUCUGUGAACGUUAUCGAGACGUGGCAAUCUGUCUUUGUACUUGUUCACGCUAGCUUUUAGACAAUUAGAAAUAUAUUGAAAGGGCUUUAAGAUAGUUGGACAGGACCGAAUGCUGUUAUAAGAUUGAUAACGGAAUUUCUCGUCAAUAAUGAGAAGAGUAUGCGUCCCGAAAUGAACGGUGGAUUAAACAGACAAGGAAUGAAACGAACGGGAACCGGCGGAUGGCAUAACCCCCUUUCCACGUCAGCCCAUUCGUCCGGAUGGUAAUUAAAAGGAACCGGCUGUACGGACAGUAUUUCAGCAGGCCGAACGACUUACUACUAGCUAGGCCGUAUAGGCAAGUGAUUUUCCAAUUUACUUAAUUUGACUUCGACAGUUGUAUUUCGCCAUUAAAGAAGCUGGUGAGGCGACGAAUCAAAAGCGGAGACGGUCCGAAGCGGAUCGAGAUGAGUAGAAGACGACCGAAUCCAUUGAGUUGGAAAGAGUCGCUCGACGGUUCGACGAGGCGUUCACAGGGAAAAUCCGGUCGUUAAAAAGAAAGGAAAACAAAAAGAAAAUGACAGAACGAAUGCUCUGAGAAAUGAACUGAUGACGAUGUAUAUAGCGAGGCAUUGAUUUGCAUACGCCUCACUGGCUUUUGUAACACAAUGCAUAGAGUGCUCCCUACAUGUUGACGCGAAAAAGAAGAAUUCAGCUAGCGCAACACGCGACCUAUAGAGUCGCUGCUCUUGUUCUCAAUCUUCUUUGUCGAGUCCUACUCGACUCUUGCUCUUGCUGCUCCGCUAAAUGGUCCGCAAACAGAAAGAUAAUCCUACAUCUCCCUAUUCGAAAGCAUAGGAAAGAAGUAGAACAAAACAAAUCAAGAAAUACAAAAGAAAAAAUGUAUAUGUUUGAUAAAAAUCUCGUCGGAAAGAAAUGCAAUCAAUUUGAAAAGUUUGCAUUAUUUAAUUGCUAUCAGUGGUGAUGGGAUGCUUAGUGGAGGCCAAAGAUAAUGUCUCUAGUUCCAUUUCCAAGUCUGCACUAAAUCAACACACAACACAAUCAAUGGUUCGUAAAUGCCUUUGCAAAUGAUGAUGCGACGAACCGCAGAAAGCGAACGGCGGUCGUCUUAAUCAUGUCAAUGGAGAGAAUGCCGCUUCAUCGCUUUCUCGAUGACAACGCUCCAGCGAACAUCCAUCUCUUUCCGCUCGUUCGAUCUUUUCCAUUCUGCGUAUAACCAAAGUCAAAAACAAGUUUUCCUAUAAAGUGCUAGACAGUCUCUCGAUGUCGUAACUUUUGAACCCAUCUUCUUCCUGAUGGCUCGUCAUCGUUUCUUUUUUCGCUUUAUUGCUUUUUGUUGAUAAAAUAAUGUCGCGUGAUUCAAUCGAAAGCUAUAUAAUGACUCGUGUGUUGUGUAUCUAGUUUUUAAUGUCUUUCUUCGUUUCCUUUCUUUUUUUGAC